GUGCAGCCAAUUAAGCCGACCGAGUUCCUUUCCCUGUGGCGGCCCACUGCAAUGGCUGCAAACAGCAUCUUCUGUGGUAGUGUAAUGCAGAGUGUUUCUUGUAUAGGUUGCUCUAAGGGAUCUUGGAGACAGGC
ensembl:snoRNA SNORA70 Small nucleolar RNA SNORA70